rnacentral:SRP_RNA from 1 species
GCCGGGUGUGGUGGCGCAUGCCUGUAAUCCUAGCUACUUGGGAGGCUGUGGCAGGAUAAUCACUUUAACCCAGGAGGCAGAGGUUGCAGUGAGCCGAGAUGGCACCACUGCACUCCAGCCUGGGCAGCAGAGUGAGACCCUGUCUCAA